rnacentral:rRNA from 1 species
UUUGUGACUUAUACCUUACUGUUGCCUCGGCGCAUGCCGGCCCCCUCGGGGCCCCCUGGAGACA